rnacentral:sRNA from 1 species
ACCACUUACACUUACCACAAGCACUACCACCACCACCACCACUUCCACUUACCACUUCCACUUACCACUUCCACUUACCACUUCCACUUACCACUUCCACUUACCACUUCCACUUACCACUUCCACUUACCACUUCCACUUACCACUUCCAUUACUACCACGACUACCACUAACCAUCACCACUUUCAUCUCCAUUCUUGUCAUUAUUGGCUUGUUGUACGUUGUUCAAAUGUUUCAACGUAUGUACAUUUGUGACUACGAUUUCUUGUUAGCGAUAUAAACGAAGAGGAUAAAGACUUUGGAGUAAAUAAUUUUGGCCGUGCCACUAGCAUAAUGUAUUUGUGCGUCUAGGUAUCCUUAGCGUUGCAAGUGGAAAGUGGCUUCACACUAUAAAUGGUUGACACAGCUAAUACAUUAGACAUAAACUUUCUCAGCAUUCACGAACAGUAAAAAUACUAUUGGUAAAUGAUUCAUGGAUAUAUAGUAUUAGUAUUUGGCAUUCGUUUCGCUUAUGAAUUGUGAUUGAACCGAUAUCGUAUCAUCAUUAAAAGUUUCCUGUACAUCUUCUACAUCAUUCAAACAUGUGGAAGAAUCAUAAAUUUCACAAAAAUAAUGUCUCAAUCGCAUACGUAUUGUCUGCUCUGACUUGGCUUGUCUUCUGUAUGUGAUCCANAUAGACGAGAAUGNCGAUCCAUCAUGUACGACCAAUCACACUUUCCUAUAGCNUGNAAACCGAGUGCAAAAGGCUUUUNGUANCAAUCAUGAUCUGGGNCCUUUCCA